rnacentral:rRNA from 1 species
AAGCAGCCCUGUGAAGGUGAGCAAAUCCCAAAAAUAACGUCCCAGUUCGGAUUGUAGUCUGCAACCCGACUACAUGAAGCUGGAAUCGCUAGUAAUCGCGGAUCAGAAUGCCGCGGUGAAUACGUUCCCGGGUCUUGUACACACCGCCCGUCACACCAUGGGAGUCGGAAAUGCCCGAAGCCGGUGACUCAACCUUUAAGGAGAGAGCCGUCGAAGGCAGGUCUGAUAACUGGGGUGAAGUCGUAACAAGGUACC